GGGAAGUUUGCCAGCCUUCUGAACUCAACUUGUCCUUUCUGGGUGUGUUUUAUUUCUUAUCCAACCAGGUGGAAACGUGUUUGCUGCAGAGGCUGUGUGCGGUCAUUGUCCUUUCUGGGUUUAUUUCUGUUUUUGAGACAGGAAACAAAACAUCCAGAGGAAACAAUUGGUAGUCUGUCCCUAUUUGUACCUAUUGGCGGUGGGGGUUGGUUUUUGUUUUUGUUUUUUUGCUUUGUUUGUCUUGUAUUUCCAUUCUGUAACAGUAUCACCUAUAUUUUUUGAAAAGUCAAGAUGUAUCAUUUGACACAUGGCCUGAUAAAAUAUUUGAAAAAG
ensembl:lncRNA